GUGUUCUCACUUCGGCACAUAUGCUAAAACUGGAAUGCUACAGAGAAGAUUAGCAUGGCCCUUGUGCUUGGAUGACAUGCAAAUUCAUGAAGUGUUCCAUGUUUAC
rnacentral:snRNA from 1 species